CCAAUAGCGUAUAUUAAAGUUGUUGCAGUUAAAAAGCUCGUAGUUGAAUUUCGGGGUUAGUAGGUUGGUCAUGCCUCUGGUAUGUACUGGUCUCACUGAUUCCUCCUUCCUGAUGAACCUUAAUGCCAUUAAUUUGGUGUUUUGGGGAAUUUGGACUGUUACUUUGAAAAAAUUAGAGUGUUUAAAGCAAGCUAACGCUUGAAUACAUUAGCAUGGAAUAAUGAAAUAGGACGUUCGAUCCUAUUUUGUUGGUUUCUAGGAUUGACGUAAUGAUUAAUAGGGAUAGUUGGGGGCAUUAGUAUUCAAUUGUCAGAGGUGAAAUUCUUGGAUUUAUUGAAGACUAACUACUGCGAAAGCAUUUGCCAAGGAUGUUUUCAUUAAUCAAGAACGAAAGUUAGGGGAUCGAAGACGUUCAGAUACCGUCGUAGUCUUAACCAUAAACUAUGCCGACUAGGGAUCGGAUGAUGUUAAUUUUUUAAUGACUCAUUCGGCGCCUUACG
rnacentral:rRNA from 1 species